GCAAAAAAAAAAAAACAAAAACAAAAAACACAGUAAACCGUGUUGUCAGCAGACGUGCCGUCAUCCAGGCUUUGUCCCACGUCCAGAGCACAGGCCGAGUGGCUUUAGCGUCCUCCUGAAGGACACUGGGACACGUGAAAUCGCCACCAAGCCCUGGCUUCACCCGAAAGUCACCAGCCGCAUGAGCCCCCAGCAGAGCCGGCCUGACCUCUGAAGCUUUGACGCCCGGCGCGGACGUCCCCCUCCAGCCCUCGGAGUCCUAGCUGGCAUCUCCUGACACCAGGAGGCUGUCUGGUGGCCCCUGGACAUCUGUCCGCGCGGCCACCUUCCUGGGUGAUCCGAGCUGCAGCUUCUCCCUCGGCUCGUGCCCCUCGCCGCGCGCACUUCGGAGCUGUGGAGGCGGCCUCUGUGCUUCGGCCUCGUGACCCGGCCUCUGCGGGUGGGUGUCUGCUCAUGUCCUCCUGCAGCUCCCUCGCCUCCGGCAGCCUCUGCAGAAUCGGAGAGAGUGCGGGCCCUGCUCCGGUCGAGGCUUCGGCUUCGGGGCGCGUGGCUGGUCUCAUCUUCUGUCCGGAGCAGCGGAGCCUUCUCCACGGCAGCAGGGAGGCUCUCUGGCGCUCUCCUCCCUCGGAUGCUCCCUGGAUCCGUGCUUCCACUCCCUUCGAGAAGGCCGCCUUCCUCUCACGACUCAGAUGCCCAUUUGGCACGACGGACUUCUGUCUCCGCUUCUUCACUAAGCUCGGUCUCGUCUGGUUUUUGAUGGAAAGUGAGAGACACGCGACUCUCCCUUCCCUGGGAGCCCGGCGAGGCCACUGCAGGCUUGUGGAUUGGCCUCAUUUCCACAUGGCGUCUCAGGGAAGAGGGAGGACGGGGGGCUCGUGGCCGGUCAUGGGGGCGGUCAGAGCGCACCGGCCACAAGGUCACGGUCUCACAUGUGCACAGCUUGUGGUGUCCAAAGCAGUUAACCACACCACCCUCAAAGCCCCGGUCACACCGCACCGUAAUAAGUGACAGUAAUGGAAAAGUAUGACAUGUGAGAUUGACCAAAAUGUGACCCAAAGUGAGCAGAUGCUUUUGGGGAAAUGGUGCCAAUAGACGGCUCAGCAGAGUUGCCAUAAAGCUGCAGUUUUUUAAAAAUGCAGUAUCGGCAAAGUGCAACACCGUGAGCUCCGCCCCUGCUGGGGAGGGUCUCCGGGCCAGGCUGCCAGCCCCGCGCAGCACCUGGCAGUCAGGGAGCCUGCCCCACGCAGGACACUCCCCGGAGAUCCCCAAGGGCCCCGGCUGCAGGAUGAGUGUGGAGUGCGUCGAGUGGACCCCGUUUCUCCACGGCACCCGGCUCAGUACCACAGAGGUGCUCUUUCCUCAGUGGGGUGCUCUCAACAAUUAAUCUUCCUGUCGCCUGGGCAGUGCCUCCUUCCCGUGGUGUGGAUCCCAGCUGCCACUCCAGUUCCGAGGCUGCGGGCAGGCGCCUCUCGCAUCUGAAAAGUGAAGGUGGUGGCGCUUUGGCGACACCGUGCGUGCCGGCUCUCAGCACUGUGCGUCUGGGCUCCACUGAGCAGAGGUCUUACCUGCUGAGGUGUUCACAGUUCUAGAACAUACUGCGGCCAGACUGACCCCCAGGGUCAAGCACUGCACGCCUUUGCCGAGAGAGAUCUAAGUGCUUGUUCCCAGGGACCAUUCAGUGGACGCUUGUUGAAAGAGGAAGUGAGCGGAUAAAAGCGUUUCUUCUCGGAAACACCAGCAGCUUGUAUUUCCUUCCCCCCUUGUUUACACCUGCCCCCCGCCCCCAGGGCGUCAGGGUGUCAGGCUCUGCAGGUUGCAGGUACGGAGGGACUGCCUGACCCAUGACAGGACUGGGCCGGGCGUGCAGCCCCUCCCUGCACAGAAGCUGCCUUCCUCCUCCUCCCCGCCCCGCGUCCUCACUCCUGUGCCCCCCCCCAGCUUUAACGUGCUCUCCUCCUUGUGACAACCCCAGUGUGUGUUCGUGGUGGAAAGUCAGAAGGAAGCCAGGAGUCCCUCCUGGUCACCAUCCUGCUGAAGACGAGGUGGAAAGCUGUCCCAUCUGUCAGGAUCUCCGAGGCCUCCCGUCCUGGAUGCUGAGAUGCAAAGAAGCGGGAAGCAGGCGUACAUUUGAGGAGCUCACACCGUAAAUUAGGAGGUAAAAGGCACAAUCACCAGUAAAAUAUCAGAAAAUGUGUGGAGAUCUCUGGGCUCAGGGCCUGAGAAUUCAAAUGCAUCGAGAUUCUGGGCCCAAAAGUCGAUUUUUAGCAGGUGGAUUCAGGCCACACUUAAAAAAAGCCCUGAUCUCUGAUCAAAAUUCGUGCUUUAUAAUGAAUAAUUGAAGAUCCUCAGAAGGAUGCGACUUACCCAGUGACCGCGUUCAGCCGGGGGCGGAGCACUGAGCCUGCUAAUUCCGCAGGUCGCCAGCCCUGCGCCUCCAGAGGGUUCAGCCUUGCGGGAUUCAGGUCUCCGGGGUGAACCUGCCUCGGCAGCAAGCGCUUUCAUUUUUUUUCUCUUUUAGAAGGUGUUCAGCGCAGGAUGCGCAAAGGUGCUGUAAACAGUUGAGCAACAGGGAGCAGGCAGCUGAGGCCAGACCUGCAGCUUCUGAGCCGUCUCACAGCCCUGGACCGAGGACAGCAGGGCGAGGGCCUAGGAAGACCUAUCUGUUUAUUGUCUUAACUUUUGACAGUUGGGUCUCGAAUCUCUUCAUUCUUCCCACUUCCCUGAGGUGGCUCUGUAGCCAGAGCUCUCCAGGCAGCUGCCGCCCGUGCCCCCAGGGCCCUGUCCUAGUCCCUGUGUGGGGGUGCAGGACGAGCCCCCAGAGACCUGCUGUUGAUGGAUUCAAACAAAGGUGUGGGAGCGCCAGUGUCUCCUCCUCUUCAGUGAGACCAUGUCGUCAGUCUGUUUAAUGUUAGACCCUUGGAGGCGUGCAGUGCUGUCUUGUGGAUUAUUGGUCUAAAUAUGGAAACUAAAAUGGUAAGACUUCCAGAAAAUAACAGGAGGAUACUCACGUCCGUGGGCUUGACAAAGAUUUUUAAACGGGACAUGCAACUAUGUGAGCAGUCGUCCUACAUUAAAAUCAAAAACUUUUGUGCACUUGAUGAAAAAAAAAAAUGCGACUGUGGAAAGGAAGGCCGCAGAGCGAGAGGAGAUUUAUAAUACAGUCAGCCAACAAAAGACUUCUGUCUGCUCUAUCUAUCCAAAUAUAUUAAAAAUUAGAGGA